GCCCCGGCGGCGGACGACUGCGGGCUGCGCGCUGUGGGCAACCGGGGCUGCCGUCCCCGCGGUCCCUGCGGUCCCCGCGGUCCGCGCCGGGCUUCCGACUGCGCCCGUGCUCACUGCGCAGGCGCGCACCCGUGGGGCGGGGCCGGCCCGGGGAAGGGGCCGGACGGGGUGGGGCCUGCUGAGUGGGCGGGACCUAAGCGGGGCUGACCCGGGGAAGGGGCCGGAUGGGGGUGGGGGAGCCUGCGGGGUGGGCGGGUCCUUGGAAGGGGCCGGCCCUGGGAAGGGGCCGGUUGGGGUGGGGCCUGACGGGCGGGGGUGGGCCCUGUGGGUGGGCGGGGGGUAGGCGGGGCCGACCUGCGGAGCCGGGGAGCCGGUUCACGACCUGGGUCCGGCCGGCGGGUGGAUGGGUCGGGUGGUCCGACGAAGCAAGCACAAGACCUCCACACCACCGACGCAAGGUGUCUGCACCUGAGGGGCUCAGGCGCGUGCCUGUGCAGACGGACUCCUCCCACCGGCCCUGGGAUCUUGCCCGUUGUUCCGUGCGACCCGGCAAGCGUGCGGCACAGCCCCAAGGUCUUCGGAGACGCGGACGCCGGCCCCCGUCCUUAUCACCACAGGUCUCCCAGCCAGCGCUGGCCAGGGCCUUCAACCCAAGGGGACUCUGCUGCCCUGCCUGUUCGCGUGUUCUCCUUGCAGGAGGAGCACCUCCUCAUCUUCCUUGCGGAGCCCAAGGGUUUGCCUCCUUCCAUCCGGGCGACCCAACAGGUGACCCUACCCCAGGCCUCCUGGAGACCAGCCCCCCACCGCACUCCCAGUUAGGGCAGUGAAUCCCAGCCCUCACCCUGCCCCCAGCGUUGUCUCUGGGAUGUGUCGGGGUGGUGUCCACAGAGGCCACCCGCGCUCCAGAGUUCCUGCCCCUGUGGGCCUGACGGGGGAUUGUCACCCAAGUUGCCAAGAUGGGCGUCUUGGGCCAAGGGGCUUCCCUGGGACCCGCCUGGCUGCCCUCCAUCAAGCCAGACCCCUGCCUGGCAGGGUGAGCAAGGGUUGCAGGAGGAAAACGGGCACGGAAGCAGCCAGGGGAGCAAUGUCCCGGGAGAGGGCGCAGUAGGGAGGAAAUGCCCGGAAGAGUGCUGGGCCAGCUGGGAGGGGCUACCGGGGCAGGAGACUGGGGAGGGG
rnacentral:lncRNA from 1 species